rnacentral:rRNA from 1 species
AUUGAACGCCGGCGGCAGGCCUAACACAUGCAAGUCGAGCGGAUGAAGGGAGCUUGCUCCUGGAUUCAGCGGCGGACGGGUGAGUAAUGCCUAGGAAUCUGCCUGGUAGUGGGGGAUAACGUCCGGAAACGGGCGCUAAUACCGCAUACGUCCUGAGGGAGAAAGUGGGGGAUCUUCGGACCUCACGCUAUCAGAUGAGCCUAGGUCGGAUUAGCUAGUUGGUGGGGUAAAGGCCUACCAAGGCGACGAUCCGUAACUGGUCUGAGAGGAUGAUCAGUCACACUGGAACUGAGACACGGUCCAGACUCCUACGGGAGGCAGCAGUGGGGAAUAUUGGACAAUGGGCGAAAGCCUGAUCCAGCCAUGCCGCGUGUGUGAAGAAGGUCUUCGGAUUGUAAAGCACUUUAAGUUGGGAGGAAGGGCAGUAAGUUAAUACCUUGCUGUUUUGACGUUACCAACAGAAUGAGCACCGGCUAACUUCGUG